AUUCCCCUACUUCCCCAAGUUAUAGUCCCACAUCUCCCAGUUACAGUCCCACAUCUCCUAGUUACAGCCCGACCUCUCCAAGUUAUAGCCCAACUUCCCCAAGUUAUAGCCCUACAUCACCCGUAUACAGUCCCACAUCACCUGCAUAUAGUCCCACAUCACCUGCAUAUAGUCCUACCUCGCCAUCAUACAGUCCGACUUCUCCUUCCUACAGCCCGACCUCUCCCUCGUACAGCCCGACUUCUCCUUCAUACAGCCCCACAUCACCAUCGUACAGCCCAACUUCGCCUGCUUAUAGCCCCACUUCCCCAGGUUACAGCCCAACCUCCCCAAGCUAUAGUCCGACCUCCCCAAGCUAUAGUCCGACCUCCCCAAGCUACAAUCCUCAGUCAGCAAAGUACAGUCCAUCGCUGGCAUACUCACCUAGCAGUCCAAGGUUGUCACCUUCCAGUCCGUAUAGUCCUACAUCUCCUAAUUACAGGUAGUCCUAGUUCCCUGCUCGUUGUCCAUUCAAGUAUUGGAAUUUUUUGUUUUUCCUUAAUAGUUCCUGUGAUUUAUUUUCACGCUGUCUCCUCUGGUAUUAAUUUUUUGCUCCUUGUUGCAGCCCCACAUCCCCUUCAUAUUCACCUACAUCUCCAUCAUACUCCCCUUCAAG
rnacentral:lncRNA from 1 species